GGGCCGUGCCGGGGGGCGGGACCGCGCUGCGGGGCUCAAAAUGGAGGCGGCCGGCCCGGCGGGGAGCGGAUGCUACGAGCGGUCCAGCCGCGGGACGCCCCGCCGGGUGGCAGGGAUGUCGGCACGGUGCUGUCGGGGCGCCGCGGUGCGGAGCCGUGAGUCCGGACACCCGCACAGGUGCCCGUCCUACAAUUAACCUCUCUGCUCGGGGCAGGGUGCUGCUGCUCCGUGCAGAAGCGAAGGGCCAAUCAUCCUUGGAGCCGAGAUGAGGAUGGAUGCGCAACCCGCUUAAGCGUGACUGGAGGAGAUGCGGCCAGGGCAGGAGGGGAAAUUUUCCACUGUCGUCACUGCUCGGCAUGUUGACUGCCGUGCCAAACCUGCAGGGCAGAGCAGGCUGCUCUCGGAUGGAAGCAGUGAAUCCUGAGGUCAGUGGGCUGUAGAGUGCUACCAGGGGCAAUCGGGCUGAGAAAGUCCAGCUGUGCUUCCGGUUCUGAGGUGGGAGCCAGCCCUACUUCUCACAUCUGCUCCUCACUCACCCAGCGUGCAGAGCAUCUGAUUGCUGUGCCCCUAAGCUGGGAGUACGGCCCCUCCUGCUCCUUCCCCAUGGGGCUGCCUGCAUGCUAGGGUUCGCUUCAUUAACAGCUGUGAAAGCUGGAAAGUAGCACAGAUAGAGCUGACUGCUAAGUAGCGCUGGGAAAGAGGGGGGCUGAACUGGUUUUGCGUCUGAAAGCUCAGCAAAGCACAAGACUAAGCUAUGGAACAAAGAUACAGAAGAUCUAAGGCUCCCCAAAUUGAUCAGUUGGGUAAAAGUCAAAUCCACACUUGAAAUGCACAGCCAGCAGCAGUGAAUGAAGACCUAGGGGCUGGGCAGAAAUCAUACCUACAAGAGGACAACUGGGUCCCAGGACUAAGCUAACUAGCACACAAUGCCUUUGUAGAACACCAGUAUGCCUCCCUCUGUGCUGGCUGGGCAGCUGUGCUCCUUUGGCUGCUGCAGUCCAAGCCCAGCCUGCAGGCACAGGCACCCCCAAGCAUAGCACUGAAAGCUCCCACAUCCCCAGGUGGUGAGGACACCCAGGUGGGCUGGGCUCUGCCUGCAGAGCAUGGCUACAGGGGUUGUCAGGGAGAUGAAGGCUUCCAGCAGCUGUGUUUGCCCAGCAGGGCAGCAUCACUGCCUUAGCUCAGUGGCAGGGGCACAGCGAGGCAUGCUGGUGAGGGGGAUGUGGUGUUCAGCUGUGAAAGCACAAGCUUUAAGUGUUUUGCUUUCUUUUGCAGGAAACUCUUGAGUGUUUACACGCAUUAUCUUGUAGCAGAUAAAGUUUGUGUCUGACUCAAGCUGCCACCUGCUCUCAGGCAUCGUGAUGCCUUUGUCUUAGGACUUCUGCAGCCAAAGAGGGAGAAAAUGUGGUUCCCAUGGAUGUCCCUUCCUGGUGUUGCCCACAGACUCACAGGGCCUUUUGCCCCUGAAGCUCCAAGACCUUUUUUCUGUGCUGCUGGAGCAGCCCCUGGGCUCUGGGAAGCCCCUUUGAAGCUUGCCAGCCCUUCCCCUCCCCUGCUGUACUUAGGAAAUGCGUGUGCUCCUGCAGCACUAAAAUUAGCUGGCCAGCUGUGCAUGCAGAGGAGCUUCAGUUCCCAGGUGGGGGACCCAGGUUUGUAGAGGAGGCAGCAUCCUAUAUAGGUUAAUGGGACUAGCGCUGGCUAUUGCAGGGAGAAAAUAUGCUUUCCUCAUUUCUCUGCUGCUCAAGCUUUUAACAGGACCAAGGAGCCAAAGCCUACAGUGGACAGAGAGCAUGUUCUCCCACUGAGCCUGGCAAAAGUUGCCCAAGAGUAGCCCAGCCCCUCUGCCUUUUAUGUGUCAGCUCCCUGCCCAGCACUUCGCACGUUCCAGCUGCCCUGAGGCUCUGUGCAUGGACAGAGCUCCCAAGGGAGCAAUGGAGAAGCUGCAGCCUGUCCCUGGUGCACCACCUGGGAGAUGCCUUUUGCUCCCACUCCCCAGCACGGCACUGAUACAGAGGCGUCUGAAAAGCGGCUGUGGGAAGCUCCGCAGCUGCAGAGGGAACAGUCCAUUUUUAGCAGCUCAGCCUCCCCACUGCGGGCUGCAGGCAGCGAUGUGCAGGGAGGUGCUCCCGUACCAUCAGGUGCAGAGCUGCAGCCCCUGGCACCACAGCACUGGCCUGUACUAGGUGAGGAGCUCGACCCUACCCACAGCAGACUGCUGAGCUAUGUGCUUACUGCCCUAUCUCACACAGGCUGAGAUCUGAUGAGAUAAUAUGAUUGUGCCUGCUUGGGCACCUUUUGUGGUGGAAGCUGAGCUGCAGCACCUGCAUUAUGGGUACCCUGGCUGUAGGGUGCUGUGGGUAUCCAGCUCUAUGGUGCUGGGGACUUCACCAAGAGCCUGCAGAGGGACCUGCGGGGUUGAGAUGAUCCUGGAUAAUGCAGCACUGGGGGAGAGCAGAGGUUCAGGGUCUUCAUUUUGGACAUUUCUCUUCCAUGCUGGGUGCUGAAUGUCUUUUCUGGAGCUGGGUUUAAAAUUAGGGAAGAUUUUUUUUCUAGUUCCUUUCACAGGAGAAGCGUGGGCCAGGAGGGAGGACAGCCCUAUUGAGCACUGCUGGUAACCCCUUAAUGAUGGGGUGAGCAGCACAGCCAGGAAUAGACCUACAAAGGCUGAAAACAGAGCUCAGCUCUUUACCCCAUGUUGCCUCUUUUCAUAAGGCACCUCCCACAGGAGUGGCUCUGGCACCUCGUGGGAACCCAUUUCCCACAGCCCCAGUGCUCUCCAACCACAAUGCCUCACAGACACUGAUGAUUUCUGCCCUAUGAGCCCCAUGGGGAUGAGCCCUGUUCCCAGACUGCCUCAGCCACAGCCUGUACCAGGUCCCCAGCGCACCCAGAUCCUGUAGCCCGUGUCAACACCACUUCUUCUGUUCAUGCCUCAGCUCAAGGUCAGGCUGUCCCCUCUGUGCUGCAGGACUGUGAGGCAGCCAGCUCCUCCCUGCAAGCAGCAGCAGGGCUGUGCUGCUCCUGCAUUAGCCAGGGAGGCUGAGAAACAGCUACAAGACAGAGGGACACCAGGGAUGGAAAGACAUCCCCUAUGACCAGAGCAGCUGCCUGGAGGCUGAGGCUCCCAACAGUCCUGUGAGGAAGAGGCCAGCCUCUGUCCUCCCGCAGGAAGGGGCCAGCUCAGGCUGCUGGCAUCAGCUCCUGGCAGUGGCCAAGCACAGCCACUCUUAGACAUGUUGCCCUUCCCCAGACCUCAGCACCACAGAGAGAAAGCUGUGGGCCAAGGGAACGCCACUGACCCUGCCUUUUUCAGCAGCUUGAUAGAAGUGUGAGGAUGAACACCUUCACUGCAUCCCAUGGAGCCAUCAUGUGAUCCCACCCAAAGCUCUUGCCCUUGUUCCUGUAUCCUGGCUGGCGAGGGAGAGAACCAGUUUUACCUUGAGCAGCUCCUUGGGGAAGUCAGUGCCUCCGUUGAGCCCCUCCAAGUUACCAAUGAAGUCAGAGCAGGACAUUCUUUUCCCGAUGUUCUGGGGAAGUCAGGGCCAGCUCCUUUAGGAAGGACCUGAAGAAGCAGCAGCAGCAGCAGCGUUGGUCACACGUGAAGCCCAGCAGCAGUCCCCCCAACCCCUUUGCACAGUGACAGAGCUGUGGCUGUCCCCUCCUGCAGCCCCGACAUGAAGCCCUGCAUCCAACCCACAGCAUCCAGCCCUGACGGCACAUUGGGUUCUAGAAACUACAUCAGGGAGGAGGCAAGCUCCUUGUGCUGCUCUCGAGUGCAGCUUUCUGCCCAGAACAAGAAGACCAUAAUUCCUGCACUUGGCUUUUCCCAUCCACAAACUUCAAAGCACUUCACAGAGGGAAGAAGUGAGGCACAGAGAGUGAAGAUGAAGGAGAAACCCCCCCCCAGCCUCCGGCACAGCAUGGUGUGCUGGGGCUGCCUGUCAGCUCUCAGCCCCGCUGCCUUACAUGGCCAUGCUGGGAGCACGCUCUUGGCUGCUUCUAGCACUCUGACUCAGCCGCACACAAAUUAUCCCAACAAAAAGUAAGUUGAAUCUAAUCAACAACGAACGUUAAGCAAUUCUGACCUCGCCCAAAUUUUCUGGCAGACCUCGCACUGUUCCAAUCUGUUUUAUUUUUAAGUCUCUAAUUGACUUUUAAGAAGGCCUCCUCUCCUGAGCCAAUUACCCAGGCCGAUCUCCAGAGGCUCCACUCCUCCCACUAAGGACAAAGCUGCUCCUCACUGCCUUUGGGCUGCAGCUGGUGCUGUCCCAGAGGAGCCCCACACAGCAGGGACAGGCUGCCCCAUGCCUCAGGGAGCUCUUGGCAUCCCAGUGGGAUGGGGAAGUGUCUGGGCACAAAACUGCGGCUGGAUGUGGAUGUGGCAGACACAGUGCUAGCGUGUCAGUCCCAAGGGAGAUGCACUGGUCUUGAGCAAGUGUAAGGCCUGGCAGCUCCAGGCAGUGGCUGCUGAAACAGAGCUGCUGCACCCUCAGCCAGGACAGUGCUACCUCUCUUCAGGAGCAGGAGGUAAACGCAGUGGCACCUGCAGAUCACAGCUCAGAAAACAGCCUGCAAUCAUGGGAACACAGCACUAUCUCAGCCCAGCAGCUCCGAGGUUGCCUUUGUGGCCACAGACUGAGCUACAAAACCCAAAGUGCAUUGCUCCUCCAUCGCUCCCUGCAAAGCAAGCAGCUGCCCAGCCAUCCUCCAAAGACCUUUUCAUUCUUCUCAACCAAUAUCACUGAAAUCUCCCCAUACCAUUCUGGGCCUUGAUACCCUCACUGAAAGGCUGUCCUCCCUGCCACAGCUGCUGCGUGGUACCUCCUGCAGUGAACCCAGCACUCAGAGUCUCCUCUACAACCUCUUCCCAAGCUGCACUUUCCCACACAGUGCCAAGCUCCAGCUGUGGGGUCACCUACAAAACCUCCUUGAUCUUCCACAUCUCCAUCUCGCAGCAGGUUCCCAACCUGUGGCUUUGGCUCUUUCCUGGCUUCUUGAAACUAGCAUGCAGGGAUUGCAGUUUGUUUCCUAAAGUCAAUAUACUUGCAGGAUCUGCCAUCCCUUCCCUCACCGAGCCCCAAUUCUGAUUUUGGUCUUUAUAUCAGCAGAACAUGACCUUACGGUCAGGACAAGGCAGCUGUACAAGCAAUGACAAGCUCCCAGCCAGUCUACGAGGUGGACUUUUGUUCAAGCCACUACCAUGAUGCUAUAUGAGGACCACCAGUGUGGGCAGUUCAGCUGUGCCCCACUGAUGGCUGCCUUCUACUCCAGCUGGUUGGAGAAUGCCCAUUCUGCAAGGAGAAAAGCAGGAACCCAGCCCUCAAGCAAACAGCAAGCAGAGCAAAGAGCAUACGUCCACGUCUGAGGCAACUGAGGUGACACUAAUUUUCUUGCCAGUGACCUAAUGUCUCAGAGGAUUAUUUUAGUGUACUUUCUAAGUGACAUUUCAGUUUGGCUUGAAGAAACACGGAGAUCAUAAUUUUACUUUAGAUGUAUUUCCAACUCGAGCACCGGUUUGCACUUAAGGAAUAAUGAUCAAAUUUGGUAUUGUAUGAGCAUCUCCAGUGUGCCUGGCAUGAGUCACCGUGGAGCGGGCCCAGGGCGAGCGCAGCCCUGCCAGCACAGCACAGCCAGCGGUACCCACAGUGCCUGCAGCACAGCCCUGCUCCUGAUGGGCGCCCACUUGGUGGGCAGCAAGGGCCCCCACAGCUGCUUCCAGGGCCUCAGGGCAGGGUCUGGCAGCAAUAAAAUGCUUCUGGAGCAGUUCUGCAAUGAAAGAACUGAAGACAGUCGAUAUGUAGGGUCCACAUGCCUCACUUCUUGGUUCCAAAUACUCUUUAACAGAACCAUUUCUCUUCUGACCCUCAAAUAUUCCAGCUCCAGACUCUUAUUAAUCUUUUACCAGUCACAAAUAUGUCUCUUUUUUUGGGCCCAAAUUCUCACCCACCUGUGCACCAGCCAUGCCUUUCUGUGCCCACACCCUCCUGCCCAAGGCCCUGCUCCUUUCCUGCCUCCAGAUUCUCCCUCUCUGAGCCCCAUACUUCCUUCUCAAGGCGAAGCACACAGUUCCUGGACCCAAACACUCACUGUCUCACCUUGAGAUCCCUUCUCUGUCUGAGAGCUCAGAGCACUGCAGGAAGAACUGGAGCUCCUUCCUGCACUGCAGUGCAGUGUGUUGCUGCAGGAGCUCCGACCUCCACCUUGCCACAGGGAGCUUGCUCAGCACUGUGGGGCAGCAACAAGCUGUCAGCUCAGCAAAGCCUGCCCUAGGGUGCCCACCAACCCUCACUGCCAACAGGGAUGUAAGUGCAUGGUGGAACCCUCACCAGCACCCUGUUCCUUGAGACUACUCAGCCAGGAGCCCACUGCACCCAGACAGGGGCAUUCUGUUGAGCCCCCAUGUCACCCAGGUCCUGUUGCCAUGUGAGACACCUGCUGCAAGCAAUUCAAAAACACCUACCACGAACCACUUGUUCCCUAAAAAGGACCACAGGGAACCUGGAUUAAUUCCUGCAGCAUGGAUGGGGCAGGGAGCCCAGUCUGAGGCAGGGAGGUGCAUGGGGCAGCCCAGCACCACCUCAGUUUUGGUGCCCCACACGUGUGGCUCUGUGCCCGACCCUUCUGCCCAGCACACCCAGCCUGCCUAAUAUCACUGCUAAGAAUGUACCAGACCGGAUCUUUGGCUGAGCUAAAUAAAUGCGGCUCCCUCCACUGGUCUCAGUGGAGUGACUUUGAUUUAUGACAGCUGAGAUCUGGGCUGGUUCAUUCCUUGCAAAAUUGAAGUUGGGCUGGGAGGACACUUGAAGGUCAGCCAGGCCAGCCUCCAAGCGUGGGCAGAACCGGUGCUGCUGUCCUCGUCCGGCAGCUGUGCCCAGCCGGCUCCCAGAUCGCCCAGCAGCCCUGCCAACAUCGCUGCGCCCACAGACAGGCACCAGAGGUGACACAAAAGACAGAUCCCCACACGCCCACCCCAUACUAAGCCUAUCAGGAUAACACAGACUGUGGCCAGAAGUAAUUCAGGUUUGGUUGGAUACCCAAGAGAAAGCCAAGCUGCUUCCAGCACUUCUCAGGGCCCACUGGGGAAGCCUGAAAGGGUUCAGGACCCUCCAGUAUUGCACAAGAUGUUGUUGGGUGAGAGGAGAUCUUGUGGGGAGGCAAUGCAAGCAGGAAGCUCAGCACUAGUGUGACCGACACGCCAGAUUCCCUGAGAGCCAUCAGCUCCACACUUGGGCCAUUAGGAUGGACGUGGCAUUUGGACUGGACCUGAUCACGCUCCAGGUGAGCACACCACAGAAAAGGAAAAAGCUGCUGCCUGCCAACUGGCUGAACCCUAAGUGCCUCAGCCCAAGACCUUGCUGGGAGAGGGAAGAGUACAAGAAAGGCAGUGUAUCAGCCUGGAUGUGCUCUCACAUAUAGCCAUGCUGGAAGAGGUGGGGAUGAGCAUCCUGGCCCACUUCCCUGCUCCCCAGCAGCACUGGUUAGGCUGUGACUACAAAAUAUGCAGCACAGGAUAUGCAUGAUGCUGAGCUGUGGUGGCCCAGGUGGGCAGUAAGCAAUUUUGGUCACUCACCUCAUGUUGGAGGCCAAGGGAGUACCAAAGCUGUCCUCUGAGCAGCAAGGGCUAUGCCGAGCACCCUUCCUUCGCCUCCCCCUCUCCUCCUCCCUCUCAGUCCAGGGGGCAUCUGUGGCUGAACUGGUCCCAGAGUCCGGCUCCAAGUGAGCCAGAGGAGCAAAGUUCUCCUCGAUCAGCUUCGCACUGUCUCGGAUCUGUCCCUGUACUUCUGGGGUGAGGGCUGGGAGAUCAAAAGUGAAAAAGGUCCCUUGAGUGCGGGCUGGGGAGGAGAGGAUGUCAAUGGAGUCCAGGCUGGUGUAAGAUGUGCCUUUGGCUCGAUGGGACUCCAUGAUGCUCUCAAAAUGCUUGCUGAAAGAGUCCAUGCCAUCCUUGGAGAGGCUGUGCCCUAGCAGGAAGGGCACUGGAGACUUGAGCAUACCCUGUGUGUCUCGAUCCAUGAUCCUAAAGGGAAAGAAAGCAAGAGGAACUGGUCACUGAGGAGCAAGAGGUCAAAGCCCCAAACAAAAGCCCAUGCGUUGCUCCAGAAGGAAAGUGGGGAGGGCAGAAGUCUCCUCUGAACAUCUGAAUACACCAGGCCUCCAAAGGAAAUGCCUUGUCUACCCAAGACAUCAUGGGAAGAGGGCUGUGCUGGCCUCCCUCCAGCCAUAUGCCUCUCCUUUAAUGCACCAUGGACUUUUGUUCCCUUAGUGGCUCAUCCUCCUAAGAAGCUUACGAGAUGGCUACUGCUCCCAGCCACUCGGCUUGAGCCUAGAUCCAAUAAACAGCUCAGGCACCAAAAACAGGAUGUAGUUCAGCUCCACUGCCAAACAAAUCCACAAGUGCCUGAAUUUUCCAUGAGCCUUCAGAGCUCCUGGCACCCACAGCACUUCUGGAGCCACUGAGGACAGCGUGACACCUUCCUCUACGUAUGUGACACCGCGGUCACUGAGCCAAGCCUGCCUGCAAGGUCAGCACAAGCAGCAGCUCCCCACACUUGUUAUGAAGGAGGAGGAAAGAGCAGGAUGGCCUGAUGGGAGUGAGAGCAUCUCAAAGGGACUGGGCUGCCUUCAGACCAGCUCAUCACCUCCCAGCCGAAGCACUGUGCUCUCUGAACACUGGCAAACCUCUGAGAUCACCCUGCAGGAGGCUCAGCUUGCAUGCAGCAUGGUUCUGUGUCCAGCCCAAUGCAGGAGCUCCUACAUCUUGAACCCCUGAGCAUUUUAUCUCGGAGAUGAGCCUGCCCAUCAAGUCUGAGCACGUGACACAGGGAUAUUUCCAACAGUGUCAGCCCUUUAGUCCUAUAAGUCCAAAUGCAAUCCUAAAAGCCUGUUUCACUUACAAGCUGCUAUCGCUUUAUUAGAGCACCAAAAAAGCACUUGUUAUGCCACUCUCUUUCCUGAUUAAAUGCAAAGAACUGA